rnacentral:rRNA from 1 species
CCAAGCCGAUAAUCGAUAGGGGCCGUGAGAGCGGGUGCCCCGAGAUGGGUACUGAGACAGCGACCCAGGCCUUACGAGGCGCAGCAGGUACGAGACCUCCACAAUACACGAAAGUGUGAUGGGGCUACCCAAAGUGUCCUUAAUGGACUGUGGCGGGUGAGUAAUGUUCCCCGCUAGAAAGGAGAGGGCAAGGCUGGUGCCAGCCGCCGCGGUAAAACCAGCUCUUCAAGUGGUCGGGAUAAUUAUUGGGCUUAAAGUGUCCGUAGCCGGUUUCGUAAGUUCCUGGUAAAAUCAGGUAGCUUAACUAUCUGUAUGCUAGGAAUACUGCGGUACUAGAGGGCGGGAGAGGUCUGAGGUACUACAGGGGUAGGGGCGAAAUCUUAUAAUCCUUGUAGGACCACCAGUGGCGAAAGCGUCAGACUGGAACGCGCCUGACGGUGAGGGACGAAAGCCAGGGGAGCGAGCCGGAUUAGAUACCCGGGUAGUCCUGGCCGUAAACGAUGCAUACUAGGUAAUGGCACGGCCAUGAGCCGUGUCAGUGCCGUAGGGAAACCGUUAAGUGUGCCGCCUGGGAAGUACGGUCGCAAGGCUAAAACUUAAAGGAAUUGGCGGGGGAGCACCACAAGGGGUGAAGCCUGCGGUUCAAUUGGACUCAACGCCGGGAAACUUACCAGGGGAGACAGCAGAAUGACGGUCAGGUUGACGACCUUACCCGACGAGCUGAGAGGAGGUGCAUGGCCGUCGCCAGUUCGUGCUGUGAGGUAUCCUGUUAAGUCAGGCAACGAACGAGACCCGCGCCUUUAUUUGCCAGCAAGAAGUCACGACUUAUUUACCCACACUAAAGGGACCGCCGUCGAUAAGACGGAGGAAGGAGCGGGCGAAGGCAGGUCAGUAUGCCCCGAAACCCCUGGGCUACACGCGGGCUGCAAUGGUAUGAACAAUGGGCUGUAACUCCGAAAGGAGAAACCAAUCACGAAAUCGCAUCUCAGUGGGGAUUGUCGACUGUAACUCGUUGACAUGAACGUGGAAUCCC